AUGCGUGCUUUCUUCUGGGCUGGGAAGGAGAAAGCGAACGGUGGGCAGUGCCUUGUGGCUUGGAGUAAUAUCUGUCGCCCCUUGAACAUGGGAGGGCUGGGGGUCAAAAAUUUGCAGCUGCAAGCACUUGCCUUAAGAGUGCGCUGGGAGUGGCUACGCCGGACUGAUUGCUCCAGACCGUGGAGAGGAAUCCCUAUGACGGAAGAUGAAGAAGCCAGGCAGGUGUUUGACAGCAUGGUGCACAUUGAGGUGGGAGACGGCACUAAAGUUCUGUUCUGGAGGGAUCGGUGGAUCCACGGGUUUGCAGCAGCGGACAUUGCUCCCAGCAUUGUCGCGUCAGUGGAUACUAGAGUGAAGAAUAGACGCACAGUUCAACAGGCUAUGGAUGAUAACAGAUGGACCCAGGAUGUGAGAGGAGAUCUUUCUUUCACUGCGCAUAUGCAGCUUCUGCAUCUGAACCAAGCUAUUCACACAGUCCAACGGCAAGCAGACGCACCAGAUACCUUCUCCUGGCCGGCGGACCCUUCAGGACAAUACACGGCAAGGUCAACUUAUCGAUGGUUGUGUGCUGGGGGUGUCACCUCCCCUUUUGCUGCCUGUAUUUGGAAGAGUUGGGCGACCCUAAAGUGCAAGAUCUUUGCUUGGCUGGCGGUCCAACAUCGCUUGUGGACAUCUGAUAGGAGAGCAAGACAUGGGCUCCAAGAUCAUCCGUCACCUUGUUACACAUGCUUGCAAUGCGAGGAAAAUGUUGAGCACAUUCUAAUCCAGUGCAUGUAUGCUAGGGAGGUGUGGGAAGGAUGUCUCUCUGCACUUCACUUGAACAUCCCUCGGCCAAGCACACAAGACAACUACCUCCAAUGGUGGUUAUCAAGCAGGAAGCACUACCAGAAGGCACAGAAAAGAGGAUUCGACACUCUGGCAAUUGUGGUGGCAUGGAACUUAUGGAAGCAGCGCAAUGCUAGGGUCUUCAAUCGGGAAAAUCUGCCGAGAAGGGACCUUAUUCACAAAAUUCUGCAAGAGAUUGAGGAGUGGAGGAGUGCGGGAGUAGGAGUGGUAGGGUUGCAUAGAUUUGUGAGAGAGUAG
rnacentral:rRNA from 1 species